rnacentral:rRNA from 1 species
CCCUUGGAGAGUUUGAUCCUGGCUCAGGAUGAACGCUGGCGGCGUGCCUAAUACAUGCAAGUCGAACGCUUCACUUCGGUGAAGAGUGGCGAACGGGUGAGUAAUACAUAAGUAACCUGGCAUCUACAGGGGGAUAACUGAUGGAAACGUCAGCUAAGACCGCAUAGGUGUAGAGAUCGCAUGAACUCUAUAUGAAAAGUGCUACGGGACUGGUAGAUGAUGGACUUAUGGCGCAUUAGCUGGUUGGUAGGGUAACGGCCUACCAAGGCGACGAUGCGUAGCCGACCUGAGAGGGUGACCGGCCACACUGGGACUGAGACACGGCCCAGACUCCUACGGGAGGCAGCAGUAGGGAAUUUUCGGCAAUGGGGGAAACCCUGACCGAGCAACGCCGCGUGAAGGAAGAAGUAAUUCGUUAUGUAAACUUCUGUCAUAGAGGAAGAACGGUGGAUAUAGGGAAUGAUAUCCAAGUGACGGUACUCUAUAAGAAAGCCACGGCUAACUACGUGCCAGCAGCCGCGGUAAUACGUAGGUGGCGAGCGUUAUCCGGAAUUAUUGGGCGUAAAGAGGGAGCAGGCGGCACUAAGGGUCUGUGGUGAAAGAUCGAAGCUUAACUUCGGUAAGCCAUGGAAACCGUAGAGCUAGAGUGUGUGAGAGGAUCGUGGAAUUCCAUGUGUAGCGGUGAAAUGCGUAGAUAUAUGGAGGAACACCAGUGGCGAAGGCGACGAUCUGGCGCAUAACUGACGCUCAGUCCCGAAAGCGUGGGGAGCAAAUAGGAUUAGAUACCCUAGUAGUCCACGCCGUAAACGAUGAGUACUAAGUGUUGGGAGUCAAAUCUCAGUGCUGCAGUUAACGCAAUAAGUACUCCGCCUGAGUAGUACGUUCGCAAGAAUGAAACUCAAAGGAAUUGACGGG